UACGUAGGGGGCAAGCGUUGUCCGGAAUCAUUGGGCGUAAAGAGCGUGUAGGCGGCCAGACAGGUCCGUUGUGAAAACUCGAGGCUCAACCUCGAGACGCCGGUGGAAACCGUAAGGCUAGAGUCCGGAAGAGGAGAGUGGAAUUCCUGGUGUAGCGGUGAAAUGCGCAGAUAUCAGGAGGAACACCCGUGGCGAAAGCGGCUCUCUGGGACGGUACUGACGCUGAGACGCGAAAGCGUGGGGAGCAAACAGG
rnacentral:rRNA from 1 species